GCAGACACAUUCCAGCCAAUCAGCAGCAGACCCUCCCUCCCAGGCCCUCCCAUCUCCUAGACAGCUCACUAAGAAUGCAGCUUCACAAUGAAUGUAAAAUGGAUGCUGUCCAGGAGGUGGGAGGGCCUGGGAGGGAGGGUCUGCUGCUGAUUGGCUGGAAUGUGUCUG
rnacentral:miRNA from 1 species